rnacentral:sRNA from 1 species
AGACUUGUUAGGUGAGGUUACUUUGCAGAUAAUGCUAUUGCCCGGAAAUGUCGAAAGACGCCAACGGGUCAGCAGGCUUUGUCGGAUUAAGGCAUUGCCUAAUAUAGCUGAUACAAACGUAUUUGUAUCUAUGCUGCAUAGAGCCAAAGCUCAACGAAU